rnacentral:lncRNA from 1 species
AACUGCUAUUGAAGAUCUAACACUGAUUGCUAGCAGUAAAAGUGCUCCCUAGACGGACAGCAAUAAUAAAAACAGGCCACCAUUCAGGGUCCAUCUAGCUAUUGCUUUUAAAGAUUGAUUCCUAAAGCUCUUCUUUAAAGAAGGGACGGUAUAGAGGAAGAGGUGAGCAGCUGGAAAGUACAGAGCCACCUUUUCUCACGACCAUGGAGCAACUCCAUUUGAGCAGUGCAUACAGACAACUCACUUAACAUGAAACCUGCUGAUACAGAGUUAAGCUACUGACAAGAGACAGACACUAUUUGUUGGGAAAAUCUGCAUGGUAGAGAAAUACUGUGCUAAGAUGUGUGUGGUUUUCUUUCUCCCCUUGCCUCUGGAGAAGUGCAAAUGUUCAAACAUGAAGGACUGCUGCCAAUUCUGUUUAAUUCAAAGACAUCACUCCAGUGUACCUGAAAGGAAAACUUGGAAUGUCAGUGCAUGGGUCAGAAGGAAACCUGGGUGGUAAUUACAAGGUGUUGUGAAAUGUCGUGUCAAUUAAAUAGCGUCUACUAAUCACACAGAAAAGUACCGCAAGCUCCUGUCACAAAGUUGUUUGUUGUGCAGUACAUUGUUGAAGCGUAAGCAAAUGGGAGCACUCAGGUAGCCUUUUCCAUUCUUGCUCAGGAAAAGGCAGCUGAAUAAAAUAUUGCCCUGUAC